CUGGGAUUACAGUGUUUUCCCAGGAAGCUCUCUGAAUAUCCAGGGUCUUCAUGGAUGGACUUCUCAUAAAAGGAACAAAAUACGAAGGAACGGCAUACCCCUAUGCUCAGGAGGGCUGCCUUGCAGGUAAGUUGUGUCAAGCCUCUAUUUCCAACCCUCAUCUCCCUACUGUCCUCCACUGUGCACAUAAUGUCAUUCUGGAUGUCGUAAAAACUGGAAAUGGUCUUGAAGAAGCUGUUUAGUAAAUGGUAGCACAUGCAUUCCACAGAACGCUACGUAGCUGUCCAAAAUGGUGCCAGUGAAACUCAAAAGAUAGGAAAAUAUUAAGAAAGCAAAACAAGGCAGCUUGAACAUUAAAACGGUAAUGAACAUUCCUGUAAAUCACAUUGAGAUAGAAACAAACAAAAAUAUAAUUGCAACGAAUGCAAAAGUGCACAUGCAUUCCAGAGGUUUCGGCCACCCUCCCCGCUUUCAGGUGUUCAUGGUUCCCUCUGCUGGGAAGCCUUUUCUAUCCAGAGCUUUGUGUGGCAGACCUAGUUUUAAUCUUUCAGAUAUUGGCUUAUGGGUGUCUUCCAAUAUCAGUGACCAAUUCUGAUUAUCUGGAUACCAAUUGGGCGUUCAACAAUUCAGUUCAGUUCUGACACCGACUCCCAGACUUAGCAUCAGCUGCCAUAGAUUAAGGGCUCAGUUCCCAAACUGCCCUACUUUAGAUGCCAGCUGCAAUGGGGUGCGCAGGCUAUCCACACUUCUUCCCAGUCAACUACAGAUCUGGAGGUUCCUACAACCCCCACUCUGGUUUGAUAAUUCACUAGAACAGCUCAAAGGACACAGGAGCACACUUUACUAACUGCUACCUGUUUAUUAUAAAUAAUACAACUCAAGCUUGGGCAACAUGCCAAAACCCCGUCUCUACAAAAAAAACACAAAAAUUA